rnacentral:rRNA from 1 species
UAACAGCUCAAAUUUGAAAUCUGGCUCCUCUGGAGUCCGAGUUGUAAUUUGUAGAAGAUGCUUUGGGUUGUGGGUUCGGCCUAAGUUCCUUGGAACAGGACGUCAUGGAGGGUGAGAAUCCCGUAUGUGGCCGAGGCCCGCGCCUAUGUAAAGCUCUUUCAACGCCUCGAGUUGUUUGGGAAUGCAGCUCAAAAUGGGUGGUAAAUUUCAUCUAAAGCUAAAUAUGGGCCAGAGACCGAUAGCGCACAAGUAGAGUGAUCGAAAGAUGAAAAGCACUUUGGAAAGAGAGUUAAACAGUACGUGAAAUUGUUGAAAGGGAAGCGCUUGCACCCAGACUUGGGCGCUGCUGAUCACCUUGCGGUCUCCGCGAGUGCACUCGACAGCGCACAGGCCAGCAUCGGUUCGGGUGGCUGGAUAAAGGCCGUAGGAACGUAGCUCCCUUCGGGGAGUGUUAUAGCCUUAGGUGCCAUGCAGCCCAGCCGGACCGAGGACCGCGCCUUCGGGCUAGGAUGCUGGCGUAAUGGGUGUAAGCGACCCG